GUGCAUGCCUUCUACUAUUUUCUUGAGACUAUCUCAUUUCAAGAAUGUUUGUCCUUCACAGAUUAUCUCUGGAAGACAUGCUUUAGUCUUUCUCAUAGUUGGCACAUCUGGGUCAUGCAGUUUGCAUCUGUUGAUUGUAUUUUCCUUUGCUGGUUGUUAAUAUUUUCCUGAUUCUUCAUAUGUCAAGUAUUUUGGAUUAAAUUCUGGACAUUUUUACACUAUGCUAUGAGGCUCUAGUUUCUUUUGAAAAGCUUCUCGAAAGUAUUAGUUAUUUGUUUGCUUGCUUGCUUCCUUUAGUAAUUGCUACAUCCAGUUUGCUUUGGACUCUGGUCUUAACCAUCUGCAGGUUAUAUUUCCAGUAUCAAUAUGGUACUCUCACCUUUUCUGUACUAUCAGUCCUACUCAGUUCAGGUGCCAUUUAAGGGUCAGUCUGGGACCUGGGUUAUGGUCUACACUGUAGUUCAGUUUGCAGAGCCUUUGUUAUAUUCUUUCUUAUCAAUGGUUUGUGUGUACCAAAGAUUUGGGAAUGAACCAAAGACUUCAUACACGGAUUUAAAAGAUUUCUUUCUCCAGCUACGUCCAAUCUAUGAAUCUUCCCUGCCUAUGUUCUGUCUCUCAUGGUUUUUCCUGGUUCUAGCUAGAUAACUAUGGUUUCAGCAUCCUUGUACUGUCAUGAAUCUCUGCAGCUGGGUCUACCUCAAGGCAAAGUGGCAAGAGAAAUCAGCUUGAGGAGCCUUUCUUGCUGUAGCUGUAAUCCCAACUCCACCUCCAUUGCUGCAGCUAUUAUCCCUGUGGAGGAAAGUCACUUCAUUGCUAGGACAUUCUUGAGAAGAGCUCAAAGGCACAAAAGGUCUCAGGGGCUCCUAUCUAAGUCAUUUGCCCCAAGACAGAAGGAUUUUCCACAGCUGUUUCUGCUUAUACCUGUUGCCUAGUUUCAAACUUCAAGCUUCUCCAUGCGUUAGGGCACAUUCAUAACGCUCAGCCUCCUGCCCAACUCAAGACCUGCUGGAUAACUUAAUGAGAAUUUGUCUUAAAAUUUUGAAAAAUAAAAAAGGCUAGGAACAUACCUCAGUGCAUACAUCCGGAGUUCAAUCCACAGUACUACCAAAACAAAACAAAACAAAAAGCUGCCCCAGAAAUAAGGGAGAAGGAAAAAAGAGGCAGAAAGAAAUGCAUUUCUAUAGGUGUUUUUCAUUUGGCUCCUCAAUUGUCCUAUUAAUUACUUGAAGAGUCCUCAGAUUGUUGCUUUAUAUAGUCUGUUCAAGACUUGCAGGUGUAAUCAAUGCAAAAAAUUGGGCAGCAUGUACUUACUCCUCCUAACAAAAACCAAAAUCAAACAACCUAUUUUUUCCAAUUCUCACUUAUUAUGGUAAAAAAAAAAAAUAAUGUAGUACUUGCUUACCAUGUGGUAGAUGCUAUGCUAAACAUUUUGUAUGCAUGAUUUACAUAUAAAAAUAAGAAUUUAAAGUAAUUAUUAUUAUUAUCAUCCUUUUAAAGAUGGAGAAACAAGCUUAGAGGGGUUAAGUGGUCAUUAUCACACAAUUGGAAAAUGAGGUAUGACCCCCAGAUUGAACCAGAGCCAGAUUCUGAGUCACUGUAGCCACUGUAGCCAUAACCAGCUCCGUUAUGCAACCUGAGCUGGGCUACAGCUGCAAACAAUUUGAUUAUAGGUAUGGAUCAGGCAGUAGUCAUCUCUGAAACCUAUGUUUUUCUAGCUUUCAGCAUUGAUUAGGUCAGGUUGGAAGAUGUACUUAUGCAAAAGGCAGGUUGAGAUUUAAUAUUGCUUUGUGUUGGUUAUUCGGCAGGUGUUUGUUUAAAGGAAGUGAAAACAGGUGUGUGGGCCUUGAUUCAAUUACAUGAUGGAGAGGACACACUGAUCCAUGGCCAUUUUCAAGGAGAGAUGCUGAUUGUGCUAAUUAAUCAUGUGUCUGUCAGAACAAAAUAGAACGUAAUAGAAAAUGAUGUUCCAGUUGCCAUAUGUAUGGAACACAGACUCUUGUGCCGGGCUCUCCCAGCAAGCAGACACAACUGUUUAUGAUGACAGCAACAAAGAUGCAGUAUCUGGCUCCUCCCUGAUUACCAUAUAUGAGAUGGUUUAAAGAAAGGGUGUUUUAUAAACUCUUGCCAGCAGCAUGGGACCUCGUCCAACAGGAAUCGCCUCUCAAAGGAACCUUUCCUUUCAAAGAGAUUAAUUGAGUCUUUUAGAUCAUGUGGGUAUCCUUGAGAUAUGGCUGGAAGGGACAUUUUCUAUUCUGUGUGUUGGAACGUUCAAGCUACUUCACCUGAUCAGACUUUUAUGUUCAUAAUGGGUACCACAAUGGUAUUUAACUCAUUCCCUAAUUUGUCUGCUUGCUACUGAACAGCCAUGCUGGCCUUUUAAGAACAUAAAUCAGCUCUAGGCUUCUGGAUGGAGUAGAGAGGAGGUAAUGGAGGAAAUUAUUUGCUGGAUUGAGACUCCUUUUCUCCUGAAGUGUCUGCAUCCAAAAACAUUCUACAUUGCUGCAUUAGAGAUUGCAUUUCAAAAGAUCUUGUCUUAGCAUCCAAAAAGUUGUAAUGAGUGUUACGCUUAACAAUAAAGAGAAACUACAUAAAAGUUGUAAUGUUUGUAAACCUAUGGAAGAUCUGAGAUCAUAAAACAAUCAAGUAAAUUGAAAUCCAAGGAGCUACA